rnacentral:rRNA from 1 species
CCCUUAGAUGUUCUGGGCAGCACGCGCGCUACAAUGGUCUUCGCAAACGGAUGCAUUCUCGAAGGAGAAUGCCAAUCUUGGAAUCUAUGCCUUGGUCGGGACAGUUGCUUGCAAUUUUUCGACUCGAACCAGGAAUUCCUUGUAAUCGUGAUUCAUCACAUCACGAUGAAUACGUCCCUGCCCUUUGUACACACCGCCCGUCGCUCCUACCUAUCGAAGAGUUAGGUGAAUUGUUUUGAUCGAUAAGAUUUGACUAUGGUCAACUCUCGUUGUGAAAUUCUGUGAAUCUGACUGUUUAGAGGAAGGAAAAGUCGUAACA